rnacentral:rRNA from 1 species
CCUACGGGAGGCAGCAGUGAGGAAUAUUGGUCAAUGGACGAGAGUCUGAACCAGCCAAGUAGCGUGAAGGAUGACUGCCCUAUGGGUUGUAAACUUCUUUUAUAUGGGAAUAAAAUGUUCCACGUGUGGGAUUUUGUAUGUACCAUAUGAAUAAGGAUCGGCUAACUCCGUGCCAGCAGCCGCGGUAAUACGGAGGAUCCGAGCGUUAUCCGGAUUUAUUGGGUUUAAAGGGAGCGUAGGUGGAUUGUUAAGUCAGUUGUGAAAGUUUGCGGCUCAACCGUAAAAUUGCAGUUGAAACUGGCAGUCUUGAGUACAGUAGAGGUGGGCGGAAUUCGUGGUGUAGCGGUGAAAUGCUUAGAUAGCACGAAGAACUCCGAUUGCGAAGGCAGUUCACUGGACUGCAACUGACACUGAGGCUCGAAAGUGUGGGUAUCAAACAGGAGUAGAUACCCGGGUAGUC